rnacentral:rRNA from 1 species
GACGAACGCUGGCGGCGUGCUUAACACAUGCAAGUCGAACGGAAAGGCCCUUCGGGGUACUCGAGUGGCGAACGGGUGAGUAACACGUGGGUGAUCUGCCCUGCACUUUGGGAUAAGCCUGGGAAACUGGGUCUAAUACCGAAUACACCUCAUUGGUCGCAUGGCCUGGUGGGGGAAAGCUUUUGCGGUGUGGGAUGGGCCCGCGGCCUAUCAGCUUGUUGGUGGGGUGAUGGCCUACCAAGGCGACGACGGGUAGCCGGCCUGAGAGGGUGACCGGCCACACUGGGACUGAGAUACGGCCCAGACUCCUACGGGAGGCAGCAGUGGGGAAUAUUGCACAAUGGGCGCAAGCCUGAUGCAGCGACGCCGCGUGGGGGAUGACGGCCUUCGGGUUGUAAACCUCUUUCAGCAUCGACGAAGCGCAAGUGACGGUAGAUGCAGAAGAAGCACCGGCCAACUACGUGCCAGCAGCCGCGGUAAUACGUAGGGUGCGAGCGUUGUCCGGAAUUACUGGGCGUAAAGAGCUCGUAGGUGGU